UACGAAGGGGCUAGCGUUGCUCGGAAUUACUGGGCGUAAAGGGCGCGUAGGCGGAUAGUUUAGUCAGAGGUGAAAGCCCAGGGCUCAACCCUGGAAUUGCCUUUGAUACUGCGUAUCUUGAGUUCGGGAGAGGUGAGUGGAACUGCGAGUGUAGAGGUGAAAUUCGUAGAUAUUCGCAAGAACACCAGUGGCGAAGGCGGCUCACUGGCCCGAUACUGACGCUGAGGCACGAAAGCGUGGGGAGCAAACAGGG
rnacentral:rRNA from 1 species